UCACAUGGAUAUCCUACAAAAGCCAGU
rnacentral:piRNA from 1 species